CCUUCCUGGAUGCCUUGCGACAGGUAUCCUCACCCUGUCUCCAGUCAGAAGCGGGAGAAAGGCCUGAGAUCUUUGGGGAGUCCCUAGGGAAUGCGCUGUGGAUCUGAGCCCCGGAAUCAUGAGGACCCUGUCACACUCUCCACUCAGUCUCUUCCUGGAGGAGAUGAGGAGCCCUAUGCACGAUAGCACCCAAGUACUGGAAUUACAGGCAUACGCUACCAUGCCAUUUACCAGUAAGAGACCUUGGUGUCUGUCAAGACCACAGCCAGGAGCUGGAGCAAUCCUGCCCAGC